GCAGAUCGCACUUUCUUAGCAGCAAAUUCCCUGAGCAGGUGGACACACCCAUGAAGCCAGGCUGUGGUGUGCAGAUUAGCGGUUCGACUCCUCCUCUAGAACGCCGGAUUCGCCCCCGGCUGUGGCUCUGACAACCCCGAGAUGACCCAGCUACAGCGGAGCAGUGACGUAUGCCCCCGUUAGCUGUGUGAGCGGCAAGCAUGAAGCAGUGUGGCCUAUUGAAAGGAGCACGGGCCUAUUAGCCAGACGACCUGAGUUCUAAUCCCGGCUGUAUUCCCUUGUCUGCUGUAACCUCAGGCAAGUCUCUUCUCUGGGCCUCCGUUCCCUUGUUCUUCCCUACUUAGACUGUGAGCCCCAUGUGGGACAGGGACCUUGUCCAACCUAAUUAUUCAUUCAUCCAAUAGUAUUUAUUGAGCGCUUACUAUGUGCAGAGCACUGUAUGAAGCGCUUGGAAUGAACAAGUCGGCAAGGGAUAGAGACAGUCCCUGCCGUUUGACGGGCUUACAGUCUAAUCGGGGGAGACGGACAGACAAGAACAUGGCAAUAAAUAGAGUCAAGGGGACCUACCCCAGCGCUUAGAAUGUGUUACACAUAGUAAGCGCUCAACAGAUACCAUAAAAAAAAAUACCAAGUGUUGUGGAAACCAGGGACCAGGUCUGAACGCCCUAAAGGACGGGUGUCGUAGCCACCGGCGGGCAGUGGAUACUGGAACAGCUGAGCUGGGACAGCCAACAAGAUCCCCGGCAGAGAGGGGCCGGGCGGGCGGGCAUCCAGAACAGAGGCCGUCGCGCCGAGCGGCACCUGAAAGCCGAGCUCUGGGUAGAACAGGUGGGCAGGCCGCCCGCGACCCCGGGGGAAGCUGGACCGGAUCCGCGCAAUGGGACGUCAGGUUGAAGAAGAAAAGGCAGACGAGGCAGACGGCAGAGACGACGUCGGCCGGUCCCCGGGGGCCCUCGGCCGGCAGGACUCCGCCCGCCAAGGGCGACAACCGCGGCGGCCCGAUGGCCGAGGAGGCCGACCUCACCGACGAGGACGGGAAGAAGAGGAAGAACAGCCAGCUGAAAGACAGCCGCCGGACGGAGCUCAAGAGAUACUAUAACACCGGUCAGUAGGGCUGCACCUGGGACACUCGUUCGGUCGUAUUUAUGGAGCGCUUACCAUGUGCGGAGCACUGGACCGAGCGCCUGGGAGAGUACCGUACAGCAAUAAACAGACACGAGGCGGGACCUUCCGAACGGUCUCUGCAGUCCCACUCGGAGGGUCCGGCUCGGACCGGCUGAGCCGGGGGGUGUGGGAGGAAUCGAUCGAUCGAUCGAUCAGUGGUAUUUGGAGCGCUUUCUGUGUGCAGGUCACUCCAGACCGUAACCUCGCUGUGGGCAGGGAAUGUGUCUGUUAAUUGUUGUAUUGUGCUCUCCCAAGUGCUUAAUACAGUGCUCUGCACACAGUAAACACUCAAUAAAUACGACUGGCUGACUGAUACGGUAUAACAGAGUGAGGCGGAAGGUUUGAACUGUGGACUUGUGGAGGAACUCGAGUUUGCAUCUAUGAUGGGUGUGCUAGUUUAUGUUGGCAGAAGUACUCAUGUUUCUCUUUAACCUUUUGUGGCAUGGUGACUCCUGUUUUGGUGGUGGCCCAGAUGGGGAAAGGUUCUGUAGCCUGUGCUGGUCAAAGAAACGCCAUGGCUGGUCAGUACAUUCAGUGUGGUUUGUGUGCGUGGCUCUCUGGAUGGUUCUGGAGAGGUACCAGAGGCCGGGAUAGCCUAGUGGAAAGAGAACAGGCCUGGGAGUCAAAGGAUCUGGGUUCUCAAUCCGGCUCCACCAUUUGUCUGCUGUGUGACCUUGGGUGAAUCACUUAACCUCUCUGUGCUUUUGUUACUUCAUCUGUAAAAUGGGGAUUAAGAUUAUGAGCCCCUUGUGGGACAGGGACUGUGUCCAACCUGAUUAGCUUGUGUGUACUCCAGUGCUUAGUACAGUUCCUGAUACAUAGUAACUGCUUAAAUACCGUUAAAAAGAAAUGGAGCCUAGGAGCUAGCCUGCUUCUAGACCAGGUUGGUCUGAUCUAGCUGGUAAAGAGUGCUGACUUUUUUGGUCCUUUGAAUCUCCAGGCAAGGGUGGUAAUAAUUAAUUGUGGUAUUUGUUCAUUCUUACUACGAUGUGCCAAGCACUGUAGAAGAUGCAAGAUAUUCAGGUUGGAUACAAGGGACUCAUAGUCUAAGCAGAGGGAGUAGGAUUUAUUCCCCAUUUUUCACAGGAGAGGAAACUGAGUCACAGAAAAAUGAAGUGACUUGCCCAAGAUCACAGAGCAGACAAGUGGCAGAGCUGGAAUUAGAAUCCAGCUCUUCUGACUCCCAGGGCCGUGCUCUUUCCAUUAAGCACUGUUUUCCCUCAAUCAGUGGUAUUUAUUGAGUGUUUACACUCAAUUCAGAACAUUUAUUGCAGAAUACUGUAUUAAGUGCUUGGGAGUAGACAGUAGAAUUGGCAGACACUGCCCUCGAGGAGCUUGGUACCAUAACUAUCUCCAGAGUCUCUGAACUGGAAGCCUGCAAUUUUACUUCAAUCUAUCAGUGGCAUUUAUCCCAGCUCUGCCACCUGUCAGCUUUGUGACUGUGGGCAAGUCACUUAACUUCUCUGUGCCUCUGUUACCUCGUCUGUAAAACGGGGAUUAAGACUGUGAGCCCCACGUGGGACAACCCGAUUCCCCUGUAUCUACCCCGGCGCUUAGAACAGUGCUCUGCACAUAGUAAGCGCUAAACAAAUAUCCACGUUAUCAUUAUUAUUUAUUGCACAUACUGUCUGCAGAGCACUCUACUAAGUGCUUGGGAGAGUACAGUCCUACAGAGUUGGUAGACACAACUCUUGCCCACCUUCAGGGAGCUUGCAGUCUACUUUUGCUUCAUUCUUUCAAUUGUAUUGAGCAGUUACGGUGUGCAAAGCACUGUACUAAGCACUCGGGAGAGUACAACAGCCAAAGGACACCUUCUCUGCCCAAAAUGAGCUCACGGUCUAGAGGGAGAGACAGACUUAAUAUACAUAUAUAAAUAAAUGAAUUACAGGUAAAUGGUAUACCUUUGUGCUGUGGGGAUGGAAGGGAGGAUGAAUGAAGGGAACAAAAUC
rnacentral:lncRNA from 1 species